AAAACAGGACCAGUGUUCAUGUCUGCAAAGUACUGCACCACAGAGUUCACUGUCUCAGCCUUGCAGUGGAACAGUCACAGCGGAGAAGCCCGGCAGCGGAGCCGAGCUUUGGCCAAACUCAUCAUGCACAUGAGAGAAACACACGACACUGAUGACUUCAUUGAGCUGAAAUAGGGCUUCCAUCCAUCAGUAGCCUGGAAAGGUGAGCCGCAGCGCCUGGAGUGAGAUGCGUCAGGCGUGUGCCAGCGAGCUCUUCAACCUUUUCCUCACGGGGCUCUAAUCUACGAGCCAUCUGCCGUUAUCUGGGGAAUGUUCCUCGCACACUUCAUGGACAUAUAUGUACCAGCCCUUUGACGUCUUCCCUAUUUUUAGCGUCCGGUCAGCCACUGGUGGUGGUUACAAUGAUGUCACACAGGCCUUAGAAAUAAAUCGGAUUGUUUUUCUUGGAUUACUCUUCCUACCCACUUUUCAUGUUUGUUUGUUUACUGUCAAACUGGAUUUCUGUGUUGCUUCAUUGUGGGACCUUUUUUGCCUAACUUACAUCCUUAGCUGCGUUUUGCAGUUUUCUACUUGUUAAUGGUAGUUCUAGCUUCUACAUAAAAAACAAUCUCGGCCUCCGAAGUCAUGGUAUUUAAAGGAACAUUUUAACAUUUUGGGAAAUAUUGUGGCUGAGGGGUAGAUGAGAUGACUGAUAUCACUGUCAUGUCUGUGCGUUAAACGGGCCUAAUGUACACUACCUUACAAAAGUUUAGGGUCACCCAGGCAAUUUCAUGUUUUCUAUGAAAACUCACACUUUUAUUCAUGUGCUAACAUAACUGCACAAGGGUUUUAUAAUCAUCAAUGAGCCUUUCAACACCAUUAGCUAACACAAUGUAGCAUUAGAACACAGGAGUGAUGGUUGCUGGAAAUGUUCCUCUGUACCCCUAUGGAGAUAUUUCAUUAAAAAUUUCUAGCUAGAAUAGUCAUUUACCACAUUAACAAUGUCUGGACUGGACUUCCGAUUCAUU